GAAAAUGGAUAUUAAAUCAGACACAUGUUCAACCAAUAUGGUUUUCAGUUAAGAAAAUAUUAUUAAUGAACCAGGCAUACCAAUGUUGUGCCAAAACAGAAACAAGAAAAGCAACCACCAGGGUAAAGCUAAGUCAAAACUGAAAGCUAUUUAAUGCUCUCUAAUUCAAUAGGUUCAUCUUCAUACAUGGAAGCUCCAAGGGCAGCAUUAUUGUGGUGGAGACGUAAUAGCAUGAUGAUCUAGCCAGAAGCAGUUUUCUUUUGCUGGAAGACGACAGCAUAAACUGGGACUAUAACACCAAUGGCGACUGCAGACCAGACACCAAGAGUCAUCUUCAGCUUCUGGUUUGACAUCCUGUCCAAGUUGUACAUGUGUUUUGCGUGAAUGUAAAAAGGUUCGUCAUGUCCAUGACCUCCCAUUCUCUUGACGCCUGUUGAGUGGAACUCUCUCUUCACAGUUUUGGAGAUAAGGGAUGCACAUGAACGCAAACCGUUGUUCAACGCCAUCGCCGUUCUCUUGCCUUUGUUCGUUUUCCUGCUAUGGACGCUCGGAGUAGUUUCG
rnacentral:misc_RNA from 1 species